rnacentral:rRNA from 1 species
CCUACGGGAGGCAGCAGUGAGGAAUAUUGGUCAAUGGGCGCGAGCCUGAACCAGCCAAGUCGCGUGAGGGAAGACGGCCCUACGGGUUGUAAACCUCUUUUGCCGGGGAGCAACGGGCGCCACGUGUGGCGCCACUGAGGGUACCCGGAGAAAAAGCAUCGGCUAACUCGGUGCCAGCAGCCGCGUUAAGACGGAGGAUGCGAGUGUUAUCAGGAUUUAUUGGGUUGAAAGGGUGCGUAGUCGGAGCGUUAAGUCAGUGGUAAAAUUGAGGGGCUCAACCCCUUCCCGCCAUUGAAACUGGCGCUCUUGAGUGGAAGAGAAGUAUGCGGAAUGCGUGGUGUAGCGGUGAAAGGCAUAGAUAUGACGCAGAACCCCGAUUGCGAAGGCAGCAUGCCGGCUUCCUACUGACGCUGAAGCACGAAAGCGUGGGUAGCAAACAGGAUUAGAUACCCGUGUAGUC